GUGGUGGUGGUGGUGGUGGUGAUUGUGGUGGUUGUGAUUGUUUUCUUGUUCUCUUGCGGGGAGAUUCCAAUUACAAAACAAAGACCCUCAGAUAGAUAGAUAGAUAGAUAGAUACGAGGAUAUAAAUAGAUAGGAAGAUAGAUAGAUAGUGUAGAUAAAAAGAUUCCAAUUACAAAACAAAGACCCUCAGAUAGAUAGAUAGAUAGAUACGAGGAUAUUACUAGAUAGGAAGAUAGAUAGAUAGUAUAGAUAAAAAGAGAGAAAGAAAAGAAAGAGAGGAAGACAAAGACGAUAAGAAAGAAAGAAAGAAGAGAAAAAGAGAGAAAGAAAAGAAAGAGAGGAAGAAAGACAAAAAGACGAUAAGAAAGAAAGAAAGAAGAAAAAGAGAGAAAGAAAAAGAAAGAAAGAGAAUUGGAGUAAUCUAAUUUUGUCAGUGACGCUUCUUCAAACUCACCUCAUGAAACGCGUGUCACCGGAGUAAAUACAAACCCUAAAGGAGAAAGAUGUCCCAAAGAGAGAGAGAGAGAGAGAGAGAGAGAGAACAUAAUAUAAACAAAAGGAAGAUGGCGCCACUAUAAACACUUGCCUGCGCCAUGACGGGCUGGGGCCGAACACCAUCCAGGCCCUUCAAGCAAGCCUACCGGCGCUAUACGCUAGACGUAAAAAAAUAAAAAAGAUACGAAACUCCUUUAUACUGAGUGAAAUCCAGAAAUAAUAAAGUGGAUCAGGACAUCACCAAAGAGGAUUCAGAUAUAACAGAGAGGACUUGGGACAUAACAAACAAGAUCCGGGAAUAACAAAAAGAAUGGAGACGUAACAAAGAGGAUUCAGACAUAAAAGAGAGGAUCCAGACGUAACAGAAGGGAUCAAGACUUGGUUAACAGGAUCCACACAUAACAAAAAAGAUCUAGAUAUAAUAAAUAGGAUCCGUAUAUCACAAACAGGAUCCGAUAAUACCAAAGAAGAUCAAAAGAUGCUAAAAAGGACGGAAACAUUAAAUAAAGAUAAUCCAGACGUGUGAGAGAGAGAAAGAGAGAGAGAGAGAGAGAGAGAGAGAGAGAGAGAGAGAGAGAGAGAGAGAGAGAGAGAGAGAGAGAAAGCACGAUUUAACAGGUGUGUGUUGGCUCCCGAAGUUCGCCAAGAGGGUGCGAGGCGAGGCAAAAGUUGGGGUUCUCCGGAAGGGACCCGUGUACUGCGGCUGCAAUAUUAAUGGUUCUCGGGGCCUGGGCGGCGCUGAGACUGCACCGAGCCGGGAUUAAUGGUUCCUGAGGUGAGGGGAAAAAGAAGAGGAGGAGGAGGA